rnacentral:lncRNA from 1 species
ACGACGUUCGCUGAUGCGUUCCGCAUCAACCUCAUCCUCUUCGGCAUGGUCUCCCUACUCACUGCCACGGUGUUGCCUGGCUGCUAGGCAAGUUCGAUUGAUGCCAUGAAGCUACUCCCCCCACUCCGUCACAAAAGCCAAUAAGUAAUAAGUAAUCCUUACCUCUUUAUUUUCUUUUCUGCAAAUCAGUUAGUUCUUCUCACUACAAAAUUUUAAGGAAGGCAAAAAUACAUUGGUGUCUACUGUUGGUUUGCGAAUCUGCCAUACUUUAAGAAAUAUGGGUAUUGGAUGAUUGGGAAUUUAAGGAUAUGAGAUAUUGUCCACACACACAAUUUGAAGUGUUGUUCCUGGAACAUCAAAAUUAUUAUGACACAAUAGAUAGAAAUUUUCAGCAGAAAGAAGGUGCAUAUUCUUCUCCAUAUCACCAUGUGACAUGGUUUGUUAAUAAGCAUCAAUCUUCUCUGUUCAAUGCGGAAUGAUCCUAUGAUCAUGUGAUUUUAUGUAUAGAAGAUAAGCAUAGUUACGUACAAAAUGAAAUCACACGAAUGUACUAUUAUUCCCAACCAGCAAGAUAGAAAAUGAAGCUACCUAUAAAGGUUGUCUGAUGGUUGGAUCUGUUUGCUGUGGUUUAUAUGCUUGCAGUAAUGGAACAUACAUUGACUAGCAGGUAAUGUGCCUUAUUUUAUUUUGUAAAACUUAUGAUAUGUAUCUAAAUUGUUACUUUGAAAUUUUGGACAGGAUCGAGAACUAACUGCAGGGGUCUUCAGCAACACUAGCAAUAGGAAGGUUUGUUUCAUGAAGAAUUCAAAGCUAGCUACCCUGUAAGUUCAUCAUUUGUGGAGGUAUCUGCUGAAAAAAUGUAUACGCCAUGCAACAAUUACAACAAAUAUUUUGCUUACCAUGCCCUCCCCUAGAUUAAUUAUUUCGAGGAACUCAUGAAAUUCAAAUCUAGCAACCCCGUAUGUUCAUCAUUUGUGCGGAUAUCUGCUGAAAACAAAUGUAUACAUCAUGCAACAAUUACAACAAUUAUUCUGCUUACUAUGCUCUCCCCUUGGUUAAUUAUUUCGAGGAACUCACAGAAGAAUAGAGAUAGCAUAAGCAUAUCUCUAACCGUCCGACACGGUAGCUGCAGCAACUCCACCACAAGAUGAUGGACGCAACCCUGUUCCUUUAUUGAUUAUGACGCCUACCACUCAGUAACACACAUCCCAGUCCCAUCAAUCUACAGUUACAUGUAUAGAUAGAUGCAUGCUGGAUAGAACGUGUUGCUAUGGAUGCUUAUACCGACAAAUUUAUCCCACAAUAUCUCCCAUAACUUGAUGAACAUAUAUGCUAGAUGGCAGGUCAUGCAAUGGAUGAAAAACUUGGCGUAUGAAUUGUAUAUGAUCUGAAGAACCUAAUUGUUGUCCCACUACUGUCAGCUUUGAUUUAUAGGUCAUCAAGAAGGCACUCUU